CAAAAGGGGAACGUACACAUGCAAGUCGAGCGGUAACAGAUCCAGCUUGCUGGAUGCUGACGAGCGGCGGACGGGUGAGUAAUGCAUAGGAAUCUGCCCAGUAGUUGGGGAUAGCCCGGGGAAACCCGGAUUAAUACCGAAUACGCCCUACGGGGGAAAGCAGGGGAUCUUCGGACCUUGCGCUAUUGGAUGAGCCUAUGUCGGAUUAGCUAGUUGGUGGGGUAAUGGCUUACCAAGGCGACGAUCCGUAGCUGGUCUGAGAGGAUGAUCAGCCACAUCGGGACUGAGACACGGCCCGAACUCCUACGGGAGGCAGCAGUGGGGAAUAUUGGACAAUGGGGGCAACCCUGAUCCAGCCAUGCCGCGUGUGUGAAGAAGGCUUUCGGGUUGUAAAGCACUUUCAGUGAGGAGGAAAACCUUACGAUUAAUACUCGUGAGGCUUGACGUUACUCACAGAAGAAGCACCGGCUAACUCCGUGCCAGCAGCCGCGGUAAUACGGAGGGUGCAAGCGUUAAUCGGAAUUACUGGGCGUAAAGCGCGCGUAGGUGGUUCGAUAAGCGAGAUGUGAAAGCCCCGGGCUUAACCUGGGAACGGCAUUUCGAACUGU
rnacentral:rRNA from 1 species